GAUGAACGCUAGCGGGAGGCCUAAUACAUGCAAGUCGAACGGUGAAUGGUAGCAAUACUAUGAGAGUGGCGUACGGGUGCGUAACGCGUACACAACCUGCCUUGUACUGGGGGAUAGCCUCGGGAAACUGAGAUUAAUACCCCAUAAUUUUACGAUGUGGCAUCACAUUGUAAUUAAAGCUCCGGAGGUACAAGAUGGGUGUGCGUCCGAUUAGGUAGUUGGGAAGGUAACGGCUCACCAAGCCGACGAUCGGUAGCUGGUCUGAGAGGACGAUCAGCCACACGGGCACUGAGACACGGGCCCGACUCCUACGGGAGGCAGCAGUAGGGAAUAUUGGACAAUGGACGCAAGUCUGAUCCAGCCAUCCCGCGUGAAGGAUUAAGGCCCUCUGGGUUGUAAACUUCUUUUCUUUGGGAAUAAAAAGCGGUAUUCAUAUCGCCUUGAAGGUACCAGGGGAAUAAGCACCGGCUAACUCCGUGCCAGCCGCCGCAGUAA
rnacentral:rRNA from 1 species